rnacentral:rRNA from 1 species
CUCGUAGGCGGUUCGUCGCGUCCGGUGUGAAAGUCCAUCGCUUAACGGUGGAUCCGCGCCGGGUACGGGCGGGCUUGAGUGCGGUAGGGGAGACUGGAAUUCCCGGUGUAACGGUGGAAUGUGUAGAUAUCGGGAAGAACACCAAUGGCGAAGGCAGGUCUCUGGGCCGUCACUGACGCUGAGGAGCGAAGGCGUGGGGAGCGAACA